AUCCAAAGAAAGCAGAAGCAGAAAAUGUCAUCGUAUCAGAAGACAAAAGCAAGAAUAUGAAAGGAUAAAGGAGGAACGUGCACAAAAAAGAGAGGAAUUCUUGAAAGACAAAGCUCAGCGAGAGGAGGCUCUGAAGAAAUACAAGGAGAAGAAAACAGCAACAUAUCAGUUGUUGAAAAGAAAAACCAAAAAGGGUCAGCCCAACCUUAACCUGCAUAUGGAGCUGUUGCUGCAAAAGAUUGAAGCUCAGCGCAAAUAAUUCAGUAUCAUCCAUAAAAUCAGACUAUAAUCACACAAUAAACUGCAGUUUGGGUGAGUUUUUUUUUGUUUGUUUGUUUUUUUGACCUCAAGGAUGAUGUAUAUAACUUUUUCUUUCCCAGUAAUAUUUCUUGUAAAUAAAAUGUUAAAUUAUACUCUUCUUAAGUUAAUAAAAGAAGACAGUACAGAACUGAUGCUAUGACAGUAAGCUUAUGGAAAAACAUGAAGCUUUAUAAUAUCUAUUAUCUGGUAAAUCUAUUUUUAUCAUUAUAUUUAGGUAAAUAAUGCUGUCAGCAGCCUAAAAGUACAGUAGUGCCUAAAAAUACUUUCUUAAACAUUUAUAGCAUAACUUUCUACUUUUCUCUACUACUCUUUUUGUGACAUGAUGUUGGAAUGAUAUCUUUUGUUUAUUAGGUGAAAAGCAUUGAUAUCAAAAUAGUAAUAAAAGACAAAAUGCCAAAAUACAAAUAUUUAAAUUUGUUGAUACUGAAUUUUGCAAAGCAUUUAACUUUUCA